rnacentral:rRNA from 1 species
AUAUCAAUAAGCGGAGGAAAAGAAACCAACAGGGAUUACCUCAGUAACGGCGAGUGAAGCGGUAACAGCUCAAAUUUGAAAUCUGGCGCUCUCAGCGUCCGAGUUGUAAUUUGUAGAAGAUGCUUUGGGUGUGGCUCCGGUCUAAGUUCCUUGGAACAGGACGUCAUAGAGGGUGAGAAUCCCGUAUGUGACUGGCGGCCUUCGCCUGUGUAAAGCUCUUUCGACGAGUCGAGUUGUUUGGGAAUGCAGCUCUAAAUGGGAGGUAUAUUUCUUCUAAAGCUAAAUAUGGGCCAGAGACCGAUAGCGCACAAGUAGAGUGAUCGAAAGAUGAAAAGCACUUUGGAAAGAGAGUUAAACAGUACGUGAAAUUGUUGAAAGGGAAGCGCUUGCAACCAGACUUGCCUGCCGUCGAUCAUCCUGGGUUCUCCCUGGUGCACUCGGCGGUGGUCAGGCCAGCAUCGGUUUCGGUGGUGGGAUAAAGGCCUUGGGAACGUAGCUCCUCUCGGGGAGUGUUAUAGCCCUCGGUGCAAUGCCGCCUACCGGGACCGAGGACCGCGCUUCGGCUAGGAUGCUGGCGUAAUGGUUGUAAGCGACCCGUCUUGAAACACGGACCAAGGAGUCUAACAUCUAUGCGAGUGUUUGGGUGUUAAACCCAUACGCGUAAUUAACGUGAAUGGAGGUGAGAACCCUUUAGGGUGCAUCAUCGACCGAUCCUGAUGUCUUCGGAUGGAUUUGAGUAAGAGCAUAGCUGUUGGGACCCGAAAGAUGGUGAACUAUGCCUAAAUAGGGUGAAGCCAGAGGAAACUCUGGUGGAGGCUCGCAGCGGUUCUGACGUGCAAAUCGAUCGUCAAAUUUGGGUAUAGGGGCGAAAGACUAAUCGA